AGGGUUUGCAUUGGUGUGUCUCCAAUGUAGCGGUAUAUCUCAACCCCGACAUUGUAGACUCGUUUCAACAUGUGAUCCAGGCGAGGUUUGCGCUGUUGAAAAAUUAACCACCCUAGAGGGACAAAAUCUAUACAAUGUAGGAUGUGUGUCCGAACAGCGAUGCCAGGCAAACAACACAAACACCGUCGACAGCUGUCUGUCAUGUUGUCAGUCGGACCUAUGUAAUGCAGAGGGCUGUGGAGAACCAGG